rnacentral:rRNA from 1 species
GCGCUUAACACAUGCAAGUCGCACGAGAAAGGGGCAACCUGAGUAAAGUGGCGUACGGGUGAGUAACACGUGGGUAAUCUACCUCUUAGUGGGGAAUAACCUGGGGAAACCCGGGCUAAUACCGCAUAAGCUCGAGAGAGGAAAGCAGCAAUGCGCUGAGAGAGGAGCCCGCGGCCGAUUAGCUAGUUGGCAGGGUAAAAGCCUACCAAGGCAAAGAUCGGUAGCCGGCCUGAGAGGGCACACGGCCACACUGGCACUGAAACACGGGCCAG